CUAGUGUGACGGAAGACCAAGGGGAUGGGACCAGGCCUCAGUGGCUCCCACCCCACCCCACCCUCUCAGCACCAAAAGAUACACAACCUUUGAGCCUUUCUGCUGCCUGACCCUGUGUGGCCAAUUCCCCACUCAGUUCUCCUGAGCAGAAACCAAGAAGUUUGUCAGAACAUGUAGGUCAUCAAAUUGCUUUUUGACCUUCUUUACAUUUUAUCCAUGAGAAAUAAAUAGCCAAGACUUCAGGUACACAGAAAAAUGUGCCGGGCCCCCUCUGGCCUGUCUGGUACAGGAAAUGCAGUUUCGAGUAAUACUGAGGUGUUUCUACAGCAUGGCCUGGGAUGGGCCUUAGUACUGGGGGUUUGGUCGUCUUCCAAGACCACCCGCCCAUGUGAGUCAAAGCUGGGCCUCCUCAUUCUUCUGGUGGUUAGUGAUUGGAACACACACACAAACCUCUCAGUUCUAAAGGAGAGAAACGUCUUUCCUAAGUACCAUACAAUCUAUAAUGAUUCCCCCAACUAUGAAAAAGCUAGAGGCAGCUUUUUGCUGUUGUUCUUGUUGAUAUUUCCGUGUCUCAAAUUGUCCCCCAUAGACCCUCAGUGCUCAGAAAGCUGGCCUGUUAAUAAUCCUUUCAAACAAUAAGGCCAUGAACCCCUAAUGACCAGGAUCCAGCUACACAAAGACCUGAUUGAAACUGAAAUUGUGACUUUUUUACCUUGAACUGGAUGAAACUUUAAGGUUAGGUAUCCUCCUCUCUGGGGCUUCUUGGGUGGAUUCUUUACCAGCUGAGCUACCAGGGAAGUCCACUGCAUAGCUAGUAAGUGGGAAAUAUACCAUCUGAGCCCAGGUUUGCUGACUGUUCUUAACCAGUAUGUCCCCCUGCCACUUGUGGCUGUCAACAAGGAGUAGCUGACAUCAUCACGACCUGCCUCUGCGUGUCCAGCCCUGGACCACACUGAGUCUGAGCUUCCUCUGCAGUAAAGUUAAGACCCAGAGCCAGAUCUUGCACCUGAAAGGAGGCCCACUUCGAUCGUCAAUGUUUUCUUUUAAUUGUAAAAGUGAAAAUGUUAGUUGCUCAGUUCUGUCUGACUCUUUGCAAUCCCAUGGACUGUAGCCCACCAGGCUCCUCUUUGCAUGGAUUCUCUAGGCAAGAAUACUGGAGUGGGUAGCCAUUCCCUUCUCCAGGGGAUCUUCCCAACCCAGGGAUCAAACCCAAGUCUCCCUCAUUGCAGGCAGAUUCUUUACCUCUGAGCCACCAGGGAAGCCCCUUUUUUUUUCAAGUGUUGAUCAAAUACCUAUGACGCUUUUGGGAACAUGCCCAGCUUUUAGGAGAUAACAAGAGGCCUAACAGGAUCCAUGCUUUCUAAAAUAUCUUGCCAUCUGGUUGGGGAGCAGCACGUAUAAUGGUGAAUGAUAUGGUUCAAAAGGAAGGAUUAAAUUGUAUGGUACUGACUAUAAUUUUUAUAGCGGUUCAGAAAAGAAAGAGGUGGCUAUGGGCUGUUCUGACUAAGGAAAGGCUUUGUAAAGAAGGGACUUGAACCAAAUUCUCAAGGACAGAUGAGAUUUGAAAGAAGAAAUUUAGAUGCCAUUACUAUACUUUCCCCCCACAACCAGAUACCAUGACUGGUUUGUUUCUUUUAAAGUCAGUGAUAGUAAGUUAUGUAUUUUGGUUUUCUUUUUUUUUUUUCCAACUUCUAAAUAGAUUCUAUGUUUAGAACAAAAUGAUAUAAAUAGAAUUUUUAGAAAAACACAUUACCAUUGAAAUCAUAUAACUUUGUGUCCUGAACUUUUCUAAUGCUCACAGGAUGUCUUGUGAUUCCUGACUCAGCCACAAAUAAUUUCAACUUAAGACACAGACAGCUGCUGCCACCUGAGAGAUUUUUAAAAAUAUAGUAAAUGGUAUAGGAUUAGGAUGCCUAGCUCCAGGGACCUGUUCACUUUCAAACUUUUUAACAAGAAAACCAGAAGCCUUUAAAACGUUGAAAACAGAGUUUUAGCGAUGACCUGAAUUUACUCCACAAAGUUCUCUACUACCCAUUCCUAGGGAGGCCCUGUGCCCAGGUCUGGGCUGGGGCAGACACGAACUCUCACAAGCAACUUGAACAGCAGUUGGAUUUCUUGGCUCUCAGAUCCCUGAAUGGUGUUCUGCAAAGAGCUGAAGUUCCACUCCCUUGACAGUGGCCCUGAGCUCAGCCUGGUGAGUGGUGCCAGCUGGAGGCGAUUGUGGUGGUGUCCCUGGUUUUCUCCCCUAACAGAGCACACUCGGCAUCUUUAGAUCCAAAUGGGCAUUGGCACUUGGGUGUUUCCUUAUGUUAUGACAGCAACUAAAGAGAGAUUGGGUUAAAUACACCCACCACCACCCACACAGAGGACUCAUGGGGAAGAUCAUGUGGAGGAGGCUUCAUCUGGACAAGAGAUCCCCAGAUGGCCAGCUGCCCACAAGCCUUGCUAGCCUUUACUGGACGGGGUAUCUUACCUUGCUGAUUGGUGGUAAGCAGGAAGGGGCCCAUGCACCCCAGUCUCUGGUACAAGAGAGGGAGAAAGGAGCCCUUGGGAGCAGGGGAUAAACCUACAGAGCAGAGGAGAGCCUGGGAAGAAGCUGAGGAGACAUUUGUCAUCAUUUAUGCUCAAGUGAACCUGAGCCAGGCCAUUUCCUUUAAAUCUCCCUUUCAGCAUGGUGUUGUUUUAGAAUCCAUAACCCCAGAGUGAAACGGCAAAACCCCAGUCCCAACCAGAUUCCUAAAACACUCAUUCAUUUCCUAGACAAUUGCUCCUGACUAGUCCCUGCUCCCCACCUCUAGUGUUUUUCUCAUUCUGAUCUUCUGCACACAGUGGAGCCACAUUAGGUCUUCCCAAAUAUGACUCUCUUUAUUCAGGGCUUGUUCAGGUUAUGCCUUGGCACAGAAAGGAUACAGAAGAGAACUGCAGUGGGCGCUAGGC
ensembl:lncRNA